AGUAUCAACAAACUUGCAAAGACAAUCCACAAUCAAAACUUAACAUUGCCAGACAAUCUUGCUACUUUCUUAAGCUUCAAUCAAAUUGAAAUCAAAACAACCAACCCCAACUUCACUUAAAGCAUUCCAAACUACAGAAAAGAGGUUUCAAAGUCACAUUUACAACAGCCCCUCUCAACAUCACCUACUCAAACAACCAAGUCCAAUUACAGAAACCAUGCAGAAUAAUUUUCAUUGGAAUUCAAGAUCACUAUGCGGAUUAGAAUUUUACAAAAUUCUUCAGAAAGCAUUGCAUUUUUUUUUAAAACCAAAUCCAAAUGAGU
rnacentral:misc_RNA from 1 species